GAUGAACGCUGGCGGCGUGCCUAAUACAUGCAAGUCGAGCGAACAGACGAGGAGCUUGCUCCUCUGACGUUAGCGGCGGACGGGUGAGUAACACGUGGAUAACCUACCUAUAAGACUGGGAUAACUUCGCGAAACCGGAGCUAAUACCGGAUAAUAUAUUGAACCGCAUGGUUCAAUAGUGAAAGACGGUUUUGCUGUCACUUAUAGAUGGAUCCGCGCCGCAUUAGCUAGUUGGUAAGGUAACGGCUUACCAAGGCGACGAUGCGUAGCCGACCUGAGAGGGUGAUCGGCCACACUGGAACUGAGACACGGUCCAGACUCCUACGGGAGGCAGCAGUAGGGAAUCUUCCGCAAUGGGCGAAAGCCUGACGGAGCAACGCCGCGUGAGUGAUGAAGGUCUUCGGAUCGUAAAACUCUGUUAUUAGGGAAGAACAAAUGUGUAAGUAACUAUGCACGUCUUGACGGUACCUAAUCAGAAAGCCACGGCUAACUACGUG
rnacentral:rRNA from 1 species